rnacentral:piRNA from 1 species
UCCGAUGUACUGAUUGUCAGCAUUAGAGGG